CACCUCGCUUCCGCGUUUUGUCCGCCAGUCCGCUCCCCCAUCACUGAUAAUCACGUCUCUCCCACGUCCCCGCUCUCCAUCGUGCGUUCCUCAACACCACGCCCAAACCGCCUCCGCUUGCCCCACCCCUACCGCUACCAAUCGUCGCCUGCCCCUGGUACGCCGCAGUUACGUCACGAGCCAGACGAGAUCCACGUGAGGAAGGGGAGGAGCCUGCAGGAGGUGCUGCGAACUGUCGGCGGUGGUGGCCGGAAUCGACCGGUGGGCCGUCGACCGAAUCGAGUGGUACCUGGCAGUUGUGGGCAGAGCCGAAGGUGAGGCGGCGCUGACUAGCAGUUGCGGGCGGAGCCGGAGGUGAGGCGGCGGCCGAGGACUGGCAGCAGGCGAGCGGAAUUGUGUGGCGGCCAGAUCCUGGCGAAUCACGAGCGGAAUCGCGGUCCGGCGGCGUGCAAGUCAAGACCGCAACAGGGUCCUAGAAGAAUAGCAGCAGCGCAUGGAUCGCGCGGGAAGAAAUCGAGAAGCGGCAGUGCGCAUGCUCUACAGGGGUACGAGGGCAGCACAUUAGCAGCUGACAGCGGAAAUCACAAUUGCGACCGGCACGUUGCCAAGGAAGAGAUGAAUAAAGGAAGAUAAGAGAAAAAGGAUCACCGCAACCUUCGAUGCCCGCUCCAAGUCGGAGUAGGCUCGGUUGCUAGGUCUAUCGGCCAUGGCGUGCACGCUGCUCAGGGGAGCGCCCGCACCAAUCUGCAUGGCUGAACCAGGGGAUUUGUACAUCUCUCGGUGGCCAAAAUCGAUGGCAGUUUUGGAACAUAAGAGUGGAGCUGUGCAAAAUUCUUCCACCGACAAAAAUACCCCACAACCCAAGCCAUGGUGACAGUUCGAAUAUCUGGGACUCCUUAACCUGCAGAGUCACCUUCUCUUGAGGUACCAACACACACGUUUCACAAGGUCAGAACUAAGAUGAGAGAGUUGUGAUCUACCAUUGAAUCUUAUUUGUAUGUUUAUGCGACACCACUUCGGGGUUUGAUGAUGACAGUUUUAUAGUUUUACAGUUCAUAUUUAUGAUUUUCUUUCAUCUGAAGUAUCCAUUAUGUUUGAUUUUUGUCGUGUCUGUGUACAGAGUUCUGAAAAACAAUGGCAUUUUGCACACAAGUUAUGAAUCCCCACAUCUAUCAUAUAUGUCCAUUCUAUAAUAAGCUCAAACAAGAUUUUAUUAUACUUUUUUAGAAGCACAGAGUUUAAGGUAUGUAGAUUUUUAUUCCUGUUCCUAACUUUAUUUUUGUAAAUGGAAUAUGUAAGGUUUAUUCUCAGGAUCAUUGGCAUCGUUUUCUUAUGUACCAUGGUUAGUUCUGACACAUAAACAACAUAUUAUCAAGAAUGGAAUGUGUAAUUGUUCAUAUUGUCUCAGUUUUAGUAAGACACAUAAACAUUAUCUGGUUUCUUUAUCUUGAAGACACAUAAACAACAUCUUAUCUACUUAUUUCCUUUUCCCGAAAAAUAAUUUACAAGAUAAUACUUUAACUAUGAUUCUAUUUCUACUUUUUUCUAUAGUUCCUCGUGCAAGGCGGCAAAUUUUGAUAGGAGAUAUUUGUUUUUUACGUAUAUGUUGUUUACUGUUUAGUGACAUACUUCAGGUGUUUUUAAGGGAAGUAACAUACAUCAAAUUAUUUGUGAACAUUAUGAAAUUUAAAUAAUAAAAAUUCAACUAAA